rnacentral:rRNA from 1 species
AUUGAACGCUGGCGGCAGGCCUAACACAUGCAAGUCGAGCGGAUGAAGGGAGCUUGCUCCUGGAUUCAGCGGCGGACGGGUGAGUAAUGCCUAGGAAUCUGCCGGGUAGGGGUGUAUAACGUCCGGAAACGGGCGCUAAUACCGCAUACGUCCUGAGGGAGAAAGUGGGGGAUCUUCGGACCUCACGCUCUCAGAUGAACCUAGGUCGGAUUAGCUAGUUGGUGGGGUAAGGGCCUACCAAGGCGAGGAUCCGUAACUGGUCUGAGAGGAUGAUCAGUCACACUGGAACUGAGACACGGUCCAGACUCCUACGGGAGGCAGCAGUGGGGAAUAUGAGACAAUGGGCGAAAGCCUUAUCCAGCCAUGCCGCGUGUGUGAAGAAGGUCUUCGGAUUGUAAAGCACUUUAAGUUGGGAGGAAGGGCAGUAAGUUAAUACCUUGCUGUUUUGACGUUACCAACAGAAUAAGCACCGGCUAACUUCGUG